AUUGUCAAGGAAAGAAGAGGUUAUGUGUUUAUUUCAGCUUAAGUGCAUGCUCUAGGUCUGGGUAGAUGACAUCCAGAGGUCCCUUUCAAAAUAAAAUUUUCUCUGAUGUAUUAACAAGAGUGUCUGUAUGUACAACAAGUGUAUCUGCAUGUAUGAAACAAAGUAAAAAUAUAUUUUUUUUAAUCUUUGCAGACAACAAUAUGCCCAAGUAGGGAUAUUGCAGGAAUGUUUUGUUGCCUCCAGAAUAGUUCUGCACUUGCACACCAAUGUGUGAGAACUCUUUACUGUGGCAGAACAGUUCAUGGAGGUCUGGAGUGGACACAUGUAGGCCACGCUCCUUGAUACAGCUCCCCACACCUCUGAUUUCUUCAGUUGUAUUAUACCACCUGGAAUGGAAAGGAAAGGAAAUGUUGACUGAAAACUGCUGUCAGCUAGAGGUGAACUCUUUCCUAUGGCCUUGUAUGAGACUACUUCAGUGUCGUCCUGCAGAGAAGACAGCUCAUGUCUACAGCCCCAGAUGUGCUGAUGGGUCAGUACAGAAUAAUAAAGAUGUAAUUGCAUUCAUCCAUGCAUUCAGCAUAAUAAUAAAAAACCCUCAAGUUCUAGAUUUUAAAAAAAUAAUAACAUUUGGAGUUACUUCUACAAAUAGAUUCCUUGCUGGACUAAUACAGAACUUCUUGGAAUGGAGUAUUUCUAGCAUUGAUAUAAAGAAGAAAAAGAGAUUAAUAUCUGAGAACAAAGCUGUAAGACUGUAUUGA
rnacentral:lncRNA from 1 species